UUCGCAUUCUCCGGCAACGCAAACUUCCUCAUAAAUUUGCCUACCCUCCUCUCCAUUCUCACGUACUUGACGCCUUCCUUCUCUUCCUCGCGCUUCCUCUCUCCGCUGAUCACCAGCACAUUGUCGUCCUCCACCUGAACCUUGAUGUCGCCGGACUUCAGCCCCGGCAUGUCGACGAUGAAGGUGUAGGAAUUCGGGUACUCCUUGACGUCAGCAGGCGUCGCCGCCAUGGCCUUGGCGUCGCGGACGUAGGUGCGAGUGGGGGCGCUGACGGACUUGUCGGAGUCAUCGGUGGCGUCUAGCAUGUGUUGGAGGGCAGAGAAGAGUGGAGAAUCGAAGCCCAUCAUCCUCGAAUCCAUGUUGGGUUCCAGAGAUUUGUUGGUGUGAGAAUGUGAACAACUGCAAUUGCGAAUGUAGAAGUGCUUGAAUGUUGGAAGGGAUCGGAGGUAGUGAUGUGGUUUUUAUAUUAGACGAGUUGGGAAACAGAGGAAGGUUCUGGAAACAACAAGAAGGAGGAGAAUUGGGAGUUUGUAUCUGUUGGCUCUGCUCCAACGGUUCCAGAAGUUUGUGGAAGUUUCUUUAAAAUGACUAAAGUACCCCUCAUUUGUUCAUAAAAAUUACCUUUUAAAAGAAGUUCUAUUUCAACUUACACGGUAGUUCACAAAUCUUUUAUCAUAUUAUUGUCAACAAGCUAUGGUUUUGAUCAAUGCUUGAUGUAAAUUUUUAUUUUGAUUUUAGAAAAAAAAUAAAAAUAAAGACAUAAUUCUAAAAGGUAUUAUUACGGUAAAAAGUUAAACUAAAACUUUGAGAUAAAAUCAUUUUUUAGGGAACAUUUAAUAAAUCAAUUUAAUAACUUAAAGUAAAUUAAUAAUUUAAUUUAUAUUAUUAAAUAAAUUAAGUAUGUUUGAUAAAAUAAUUUAAUGAUAUAACUUAAGAAUAAAAAAUAACUUAAAGUAACAAACAAAAAUAAUUAAUUAAUUCUUAAAUUUAUAUCUUUAUUUUAAUUUUUUUACUCUUAUUUAUCCGAACUAUUUUCAUAAUCUUUUUUGUUAUUUCAUGACUUUCAUUGUUACUCAAAUUACUUUAUCCUAAUUAUAUAAUUUAUGAAGAUAAAUAUAUUAAUUUGGUGAUUUAUAAUAAAUUUUAAUUUAAUUUUAUUAAAUAACCUUAAUAUUUAAAAUAAGAAUUAAAUAAUAAUUUUUAAGUCAAUAAUUUAAAUAUAAUUUAACUUAAAAUCAAAUUAAAUAAUUAAAUAAUAAAUAAUAAAUUUUACCAAAUACCAUUUUAGAAUUGUUUUUAUAGUAAAGUUAGUUAAAUAAAUACAGAUUUUUUUAUUAAUAAGAGUUUUUGAACUUAGAUCCAACUUGUGUUUUAUCUAUUAAAAUUUAAAAGUUAUAACCAAUUAAGCAUUAACAAUUAAAAAAAAAUUACUCUUUAUUUCUAAAUCGUACAUUAAUAAUAAUUGACUAAUAAAUUAUGAACAUGGAUAAUUUGCCCCUUAUCGGUAGGAGCAUAAAUUACAUGGCAAGUCAUGUUGGGUACAUUUAACUUGGAUUGAACAAGGCGUAGAAGGAUUAAAUAGAAGUAUAUCAUUGAUGAUAAUAUUGCUUAAAUUUAUUUAAUGUCUUCAUUAUUCUAAUACCAGUCAUUAUAUUUGAUCAUUUUCAAAGAGAACAACUCUUCCCUGAGACAAAUAUGGUGUCACUCUCCCAAUCUAAAUUACAAAUUUAGAUUAUCGAAUUCCCUACCCAAAAUCCAAUCUUCCCAGUUAAAAAAAAAAGACUUGUAGUGAAGUUGUCAACCAGAGGAAAUACCACACCUUACUAUGGCUUUUUAAUUGCCGUUAAAUCUUAAAAAUUCUCCAGGAAAAAUGAAAACGAGGCAAGGAAGAGAAAAGGCAGACUUUAUUGACGGUACUGAAAAAUCAAAACUAUACAUUAUACUGUAAUGAAGAGAUCAGUAUUUUCAUCACCCCAAGCCAUUGACCCAAGAUCAAACCCAGACAAAGGCUCCUGUGGCACAGCAACAUUACCACAUUAUUUACUACUAAAACUCCAGAAAAACCCUCCCAAAACCCCCUACAUUUCAAGCAAUUUUGACCUCAAUGGUCUUGGGCUUCUUGGGUUCCGGCGGUGGCAGCUUCUCGACGGUGACGGUCAACACCCCAUCUUGACAUACAGCAGAGAUCUUAUCAGUAUUCGCAUUCUCCGGCAACACGAACUUCCUCAUAAACUUCCCCACUCUCCUCUCCAUUCUUACGUACUUGGCACCUUCCUUCUCCUCCUCUCGCUUCCUCUCUCCGCUGAUCACCAGCACAUUGCCGUCCUCCACCUGAACCUUGAUGUCGCCGGACCUCAGCCCCGGCAUGUCGACGAUGAAGGUGUAGGAAUUCGGGUACUCCUUGACGUCAGCCAGCGUCGCCGCCAUGGCCUUGGCAUCCCGGACGUAGGUGCAAGUGGCUUAAGGUUGAGGGAUUCAAAGACCUUGUUCGAACUUGUGGCAGGGGAUCAAAGUCAGUGGCAGUGCUAGUUAUAGAUUAGCUGCUAAAAUGAAGGAAGUAAAAAAGAAGCUGAAAGUAUGGAACAAAGAGGUUUUUGGGAGGCUGGAAUGCAACAAAUCUUCAGCCCUACAACAAGUAGAUUUCUGGAAUCGGGUGGAAAGCGAGAGAAACUUGACUGUGGAGGAAACUAAAUUAAAAAAGAAGCAAAAGAAACCUAUAAAAAGUGGGUUCUGUUGGAGGAAGCUCAUUGGAGAUAGCUUUCAAGGGAGAUUUGGCUAAGGGAGGGGAAUAGAAACACGGGUUUCUUCCAUCGAAUGACAAGUAUUCAUCGUAGAAACAAUGCUUUUGACAGAAUUAAGGUUAAUGGGGAGUGGCUGUCAGAGGAGCAGGAGGUGAGGGAAGAAAUUGUUAACACAUUUCAGUAGAUGCUCUCUAAAGAUAUGGAAUGAAAGGCGAAUAUUGGAAGAAUUCAUAUUGAUCACAUCAUCCGGCAAGAAGCAGAGAGUUUGGAGGUCCCAUUUACAGAGAUUGAGAUUUAUACGGCGUUGAUGGAGAUGAAUGGGGAUAAAGCCCCUGGUCUGGAUGGCUUUACUGUAGCUUUCUGGCAAAACGCUUGGGAUUUUACCAAAGAGGAGAUUCUGGAUAUGUUUAAAAAAUUUCAUGAACAUAACUCUUUUGUUAGAAGUCUCAACAAUACUUUUUUGGUAUUGAUCCCUAAGAAAAGUGGGGUUGAGGAUCUUGGAGACUUUAGACCUAUCAGUCUCUUAGGGGGCCUUUAUAAACUUUUGGCUAAAGUUCUAGCUAAUAGGCUAAAAAAAGUGAUUAGUAAGGUGGUCUCCAUUGCCCAGAAUGCCUUUGUAACAGGAAGACAAAUUCUUGAUGCGUCAUUAAUUGCUAGUGAGGUGAUAGAUUCAUGGCAGAAGAGAAAAGAGAAGGGCCUUAUAUGCAAAUUGGAUAUAGAAAAAGCUUAUGACAACAUCAAUUGGAAAUUCUUAAUGAAGGUCUUACAAAAAAUGGGUUUUGGGGCUAAGUGGGUGGGAUGGAUGUGGAGUUGCGUGUCCUCUACCAAAUUCUUAGCUCUUGUUAAUAGAGUACCAACUGGUUUUUUCCCUAGCACUAAAGGGCUUAGACAAAGAGAUCUUCUAUCCCCUUAUCUUUUUUGUAAGGAAUUUGAGGCUAAUCCAAACUAUGCUAAUCACCCUAGAGAGGGGGGGUAAAUAGGGUGAUGGUCUCUUUUUCACAAAUUUAAACUAUGCAAAAAUAAGAGAUAAUUAUAUGCAAAUAUAUAAUAAACAAAAUAAACACAAUUACAUAUAAUUUAAAAGAGUUAGGGAAGAGAGAGUGCAAACAUGAGAGUUUAUAGUGGUUCGGCACUUCCUUGCCUACGUCCACUCUCCUCAACCUUUUAACCGAGUGAGGGUUCCACUAUCUUGAAGUUUCAACCAAACUUCCAAUCUCUUUACAAUUGGAUUAUGGUUCUAAUUCACCCUCUUAGACUUUUGGCUCCAAGCACCUUUUACACUUCUUAAGAGUUAUCCCACUCUUGAACAACCUCUCAAGUGAUACCCCUCACUUGAGAAAAUUCAUCUAAAAAAUAUACAAAGAUUGAUCUCACAAAGAUCCUAGUAAUAGAACUUUAGGCUCAAAAAUACAAGAAAAACUAGGAUUGAAUGGUACACUAAAGAUAUGCAAGUUAUGAAACAAUGGUGCACUCAAAAACACUCUUCCAAGGCUCAAAUAUAAUCAAGAAUGAUUUGGGAAGGUUAAGCUUAUGAAACAAUGAAGAUUGAAGCCUUUUUAUAGAAGAAAAAAGUCAAACUAGCCGUUGGGGGUUCGACCGGUCGAGCUAGGUGUCGACUGGUUGACUAGCCGUUAGGGAAAGUGACCGUUGGGCCUCAACCGGACCUCAACCGGUCCUCAAUUGGACCUCAACCGAACCUCAACCGAACCUCAACCGAUUGAGGUUCAACCUUGACUGGGAAGAGAAUGCCACUGGGAGAGAGAGAAACUUUUUGGCCUCCCUCAACCGGUCCUCGACCGGACGAGCACAACCGGUCGACCGGUUGAACCAGUUGAGCCAUUUUUUUGGCUCAACACUCAACCCUUUUCAACUUAAAACCUUUUAACACAAGUUUGAAAAUCAUUUAACAGAAGGUUUUAGUUGAAAACAUGAAAUCAUCCAAUUCUUAAGAUAUUUAAAACAAUAUUACUUUUGGAUGAUUUUGGUUCAUAAAUAAAUAAUGAAAUGCAUGAAAGUCCUAGUGCACCAACAACCUUACAAAGAGAUCUUAAGAAGCUUUGGUCUUGAAAAAAACUCUUCUCUUUGAGGUGGUCUUCUUCUACAUGAUUUCUCCUUGGCUUGAUUUGUCUUUGGAUUACCACUUUGGAAGUCGUCUUGCCUAAUCACACUUAAAAUGUAGUCAUUAGUUUUAAACCUUGUUUUGUUAUCAUCAAAAUCAAGAUUAACCAAACCUUGGUUUCACAUCUUUGUUAUGGGAAUGGAAGUGUUGGACGUCCUCAUCAGGAGAGCUGUGGAGGGGGGAUACUUAUCAGGAUGCAUAAUUCGGGGUGGUAGUAGACCCUCUUUGAACAUCUCCCACCUAUUUUUUGCUGAUGACACAAUAGUGUUUUGUGAGGUAAGUAAAGAGCAAUUAUCUUACCUAAGUUGGAUUCUUCUUUGGUUUGAAGCAGCUUCAGGCCUUAGAAUUAAUUUAGCCAAAAGCGAAAUCAUCCCAGUUGGAGAAGUGGAGGAGAUUCAUGAGCUGGCAGUUGAGUUAGGGUGUAGGGUGGGAUCCUUGCCCUUUCAAUAUUUGGGACUCCCUCUAGUGGUUCCUAAUAGGGCUACUUCUAUGUGGGAUGGAGUGGAAGAGAGAGUUAGGAGGAGACUUGCGCUUUGCAAAAGGCAGUACAUUUCCAAAGGGGGGAGGAUCACUCUUAUAAAAAGCACCUUGGCUAGCAUGCCAAUAUACCAAAUGUUUAUUUUUCGAAUGCCCAAGUCUGUUGCUAAAAGAGUAGAGAAAGUUCAAAGGACUUCCUAUGGGGGGAGGACACUUAGAGGGGAAAAUUCAUCUAGUUAAAUGGAAUGUGGUUUGCACAGAAAAAAACAAGGGUGGGCUAGGCUUAAGGAAAAUAGCCAUGCUAAACAGAGCCUUGCUUGGUAAGUGGAUUUGGAGGUUUGCUUGUGAAAAAGAUUAUCUUUGGAAGCAAGUGAUCACAACGAAGUAUGGGUAAGAGGAUCAUGGAUGAAGGUCAAAGAAGUCUAAUGAGGCGGUUGGAGUAGGGGUGUGGAAGGAGAUUUUGAAAGAAUCUGAUUGGUGCUGGGAUAAUCUAGUGUUUCUAGUUGGGAAGGGCUCCAAAAUCAAAUUUUGGAAAGAUACUUGGUGCACUGACACACCGCUGUCCCAUUAUAUCACUUACCUCUUUGUUCUGGUCGCGCAUAGGGACGCAACAAUUGAGGAGAUGUGAGACCAAAAUUCUGGUCAAGGAGGCUGGAACCUAAUUUUUUUUAGAGACUUUAAUGAUUGGGAGUUGGAUAUGGUUGGGAAUUUGCUUCAUAUCUUGAGGGGUCAUAGGCCUUCUUUGGAGGAAGAUUCAAUUAUGUGGAGGCGAGGAAGAAAUGGUCUCUUUAGGGUCAAGGAAGCUUAUAGGCUGCUGGACAACCCUAAUGACAUAGUUUUUCCUUCAAGGAGCAUCUGGGUGGAUGAGGUGCCAACUAAAGUUGCUUUUUUCGCUUAGGAGGCGACGUGGGGGAAGGUGCUCACUCUGGAUAGGCUCCAGAUAAGAGGAGUGCAACUCCCUAAUUAUUGUUUUUUGUGUGGUUGUGAAGAAGAAAAUGUAAAUCAUAUUCUUAUACACUAUAUAGUGGCUAGAGCUAUGUGGGAUAUUAUUCUUGGGUUAGUAGAUGUUAAAUGGGUCUUCCCAAAAACUGUAAAGGAGGUCUUAACUACCUGGAGGGGCCCAUUUGUAGGGAAGAAAAAGAAAAAUGUUUGGAAAUUCAUACUGUUGUGUAUCUUUUGGACGGUUUGGAAUGAGAGGAAUAUGUUAGCUUUUAGGGGGGGGUGUUGAAUAUCCAGAAAUUAAAGAAUUUUUUUGUUUGUAACUUAUGGAGCUAGGCCAAAGUGUAUUUAGGCGAGGAGUCUCUCUCCCUUAUAGACUUUUUGGAGUGGGUAGCAUCCACUUAAAGGGAGGUAGUCCUUUUUUAGGCUUUAACUGCCUUGUAUACUCUGUGGCUUUUAACAUUUUUCUAAUGCAUAUCUUGUUUUCUUAUAAAAAAAAAAAAAUCAUUUUGUUUUGGGGAAUAUGAAACCAUUAAAGGUCAAUGCAUCCUACGAUUUUCAUAAUAUUUUUAAAAUUCUUUUAAUGUGAAUUCAUCUCUUCUAUUAGAUUUCUUUGGUUAUUAUGAUCACUUUCCUUUUCAAUAAGUGUUUUAAAUUUAUUAAAAGCACAAAAUACUUCAAUUUUUUCCUUUAAAAAAUACAUCCAAAAUUUUAUACUAAAAUCAUGAAUGAAAAACAAAAAAUAUUUAUUCUUACAAAAAAAAAAGUUUGAAUGAAUCGGAUCACAUACAUCCGAAUAAAUAAGUUUUAGAGACUUUUUAUUCUUAUACAUGCUUCUUUUGAAAAUUAUUUUUACAGCAUGUUUCUCAAAUAAGCAUCCUUCACAUUAUUCAUUCAUUUUUGGAAAGCAAUUCUCAUAUUUUUUUUGUUCUAACAAUUUUAAUUUAUCAAAAUUAAGAUAUUCAAAUCUUAAAUGUCAAAUCCAAAAGGAAUCAUUGACAUGAGAUUUUAGACAUUUUACAAUAUCAUUUUAUAUAUUUAAAAAAUAACAUUGCAUUUCUUGUCAUAGACAUAUUUACAUGCUAUCUCUUAUUAAAAGACUUUGAUUUUUCAUAUAAAUAUCAGUCUUUUUUUAAAAACUAGCCCAAACUUAAUAUAUUAUUUGUCAUGUUGGGUACAUAACAAAUAAUGUUCAAGAUAAAUCGAUGCAUUCCAUUCUUAUUUUACCUUUGCCUAGAUAUAUAAUAAUUCUUUCCCCACAAAAUGGACUUAACUUUGAACAGUUCCAAAGAUGGGUGAGCCCCAAAAAAAUGGCUAUUUGGACAAACUCUAAGGGUUGUUUGGGCUUGUCCAUUAAUUUGGGACAUGAAACCCACUAAAGGCUAAAGCCAGAAGCAGACUAGUCUUAUCCAAGAAGGUAGAACAUAAAAGUAUAUUACACACAAACGUUAUGGUAAUAGUUAAAAUAAAACUUUUGUUCAAUCACUCUUAAAUCUUACAAAAACCUUAUAAUUUCAGGGUAAUACUUCUUAGGAAGAUCAGUUUUCCCAUCUUCUCUACGCAUACAAUGAAGCUUCCAACCUGAAGAGAGAUACACCAAAGAAGAAGAAAAACAGAGCAGAAAGGCUUUCAUUCAUACUCAAAACUACAAUAUUUAUAAAGAAAUCAUCAGCUUCUAUGUAGAAGCCAAUGACCCAAUAUCAUACCCAGACCAAAUUCACAGAAAUCCCAAUUAGAUCAGCUUAUCUGCAAUUACCCACUCAGAAUCACGGAGAUUUAAGCGAUCUUGACCUCAAUGGUCUUGGGCUUCUUGGGCUCCGGCGGUGGUAGCUUCUCAACGGUGACGGUCAGUACUCCAUCUUGACAAACCGCGGAGAUCUUAUCAGUAUUCGCAUUCUCCGGCAACGCAAACUUCCUCAUAAACUUGCCUACCCUCCUCUCCAUUCUCACGUACUUGACGCCUUCCUUCUCUUCCUCGCGCUUCCUCUCUCCGCUGAUCACCAGCACAUUGUCGUCCUCCACCUGAACCUUGAUGUCGCCGGACUUCAGCCCCGGCAUGUCGACGAUGAAGGUGUAGGAAUUCGGGUACUCCUUGACGUCAGCAGGCGUCGCCGCCAUGGCCUUGGCGUCGCGGACGUAGGUGCGAGUGGGGGCGCUGACGGACUUGUCGGAGUCAUCGGUGGCGUCUAGCAUGUGUUGGAGGGCAGAGAAGAGUGGAGAAUCGAAGCCCAUCAUCCUCGAAUCCAUGUUGGGUGUCAGAGAUUUGUUGGUGUGAGAUUGUGAACAACUGCAAUUGCGAAUGUAGAAGUGCUUGAAUGUUGGAAGAAAUCGGAGGC
rnacentral:lncRNA from 1 species